CCUACGGGAGGCAGCAGUGGGGAAUUUUGGACAAUGGGGGCAACCCUGAUCCAGCAAUGCCGCGUGAGUGAAGAAGGCCUUCGGGUUGUAAAGCUCUUUUGUCAGGGAAGAAACGGUAGUAGCUAAUAUCUAUUACUAAUGACGGUACCUGAAGAAUAAGCACCGGCUAACUACGUGCCAGCAGCCGCGGUAAUACGUAGGGUGCAAGCGUUAAUCGGAAUUACUGGGCGUAAAGCGUGCGCAGGCGGUUGUGUAAGUCAGAUGUGAAAUCCCCGGGCUCAACCUGGGAAUUGCAUUUGAGACUGCACGGCUAGAGUGUGUCAGAGGGGGGUAGAAUUCCACGUGUAGCAGUGAAAUGCGUAGAUAUGUGGAGGAAUACCGAUGGCGAAGGCAGCCCCCUGGGAUAACACUGACGCUCAUGCACGAAAGCGUGGGGAGCAAACAGGAUUAGAUACCCUGGUAGUCCACGCCCUAAACGAUGUCUACUAGUUGUCGGGUCUUAAUUGACUUGGUAACGCAGCUAACGCGUGAAGUAGACCGCCUGGGGAGUACGGUCGCAAGAUUAAAACUCAAAGGAAUUGACGG
rnacentral:rRNA from 1 species